rnacentral:misc_RNA from 1 species
UUGGAGACACACACACACACACGCACGCACAGAGAGAGAGAGAGAGAGAGAGAGAGAGAGAGAGAGAGCAGAGCAGAGCGCGACAGAGCAAAUCGGUCAUUCGCAGGGGAAGGGAGGGAGAUGCUGCGAUGGCUUAUUACAGUGAUCUUCUUGUUGAAGUUUCUCUGGUGCCGUUUCACACGGUAGCGCUCGAUCCGCUCUUUCCUCUCCACGGCGCUGUACCGGACGACCUUCUGAGAGAACGUCCCGCCACCCUCGUGGCCGCAGGCGUCGGCCGACAGCACCGGGCGCGGCGGCGACGACCCGUUCAUCCCCUGUUCUCAUUGCCAGCACAGCACACCAGCAGAGUUUCAGGUUUCUUUUUUAUUUGUU